rnacentral:tRNA from 1 species
GCCGGUAUAGCUCAGUUGGUAGAGCACCUGUCUUGUAAACAGGAGGUCAGGGGUUCGAGGCCCCUUGCCGGCU